rnacentral:lncRNA from 1 species
AAUUCCCUCGCAGAUGGAUGAAAGCACAGAAACCCUUUGUUGUACUGCAACUUGCCACUGUACUCCAAGUGAAGAAUCCUUCCACCAUUAUUACAUUUGCUAUUCUGGAAAAGGAAGGAGACAGUCUUUUUCUGUUUGUUACAUGUUGACGGAACAGUGGCACACAGGACAUCUUAGAAUCGAAUUAAUGACUGAGUAGCUGGAAGGUGGACAUAUCUGUUCAUGUCAUGUUGGGUAUGACUUGACACUUUUCUAUCAUCCUGAAAAGGUAAAUAAAUCCUUUGGCUUAAAUAACAAUAUUUCUGCUAUCAUUAAGAACAUGUUUUAAUCAAAAAGCACCAUCCCUCACUUGGUGGGUUCAGGUCAUCUUUUGUGUUAGAAGAUAAAAUUUGAUGGAAGACUGGACUUUUUUAUAUCAAAUAAAUAGCUUUUUCAAGGGUUUCUCUAAUAUGGGAAUACCUUUCAGGACCUAAAAUAAAAAAUAAAGUAAAAAGUAAAAGACUUUGAUAUCCAAAAGGGGUGAACAAUGAAGAAAUUUUACAAGCUUUUGC